rnacentral:rRNA from 1 species
GACGAACGCUGGCGGCGUGCCUAACACAUGCAAGUCGAGCGGGGAGAGGUUUUCGGAUUUCUCUUUAGCGGCGGACGGGUGAGUAACACGUGGGUAACCUGCCUCGAAGAGGGGGAUAGCCUCCCGAAAGGGAGAUUAAUACCGCAUAACAUCAAAUUAUCGCAUGGUAGUUUGAUCAAAGCAGUAAUGCACUUUGAGAUGGACCCGCGGCGCAUUAGCUAGUUGGUGAGGUAACGACUCACCUAGGCGCCGAUGCGUAGCCGACCUGAGAGGGUGAUCGGCCACAUUGGAACUGAGACACGGGCCAGACUCCUAGGGGAGGCAGCAGUGGGGAAUAUUGCACAAUGGGCGAAAGCCUGAUGCAGCAACGCCGCGUGAGUGAUGAAGGCCUUCGGGUUGUAAAGCUCUGUCUUCUGGGACGAUAAUGACGGUACCAGAGGAGGAAGCCACGGCUAACUACGUGCCAGCAGCCGCAGUAAUAC